GCGAGUGAAGCGGGAAAAGCUCAAAUUUAAAAUCUGGCGGUCUUUGGCCGUCCGAGUUGUAGUCUGGAGAAGUGCUUUCCGCGCUGGACCGUGUACAAGUCUCUUGGAACAGAGCGUCAUAGAGGGUGAGAAUCCCGUCUUUGACACGGACUACCAGUGCUUUGUGAUGCGCUCUCAAAGAGUCGAGUUGUUUGGGAAUGCAGCUCAAAAUGGGUGGUAAAUUCCAUCUAAAGCUAAAUAUUGGCGAGAGACCGAUAGCGAACAAGUACCGUGAGGGAAAGAUGAAAAGCACUUUGGAAAGAGAGUUAAACAGUACGUGAAAUUGCUGAAAGGGAAACGCUUGAAGUCAGUCGCGUUGGCCAGGACUCAGCCUUGCUUUAGCUUGGUGCAUUUUCUGGUUGACGGGCCAGCAUCGAUUUCGGUUGUCGGAUAAAGGCAGGGGGAAUGUGGCAUCUUCGGAUGUGUUAUAGCCCUCAGUCACAUACGACGGCUGGGAUCGAGGACCGCAGCACGCCUUUAUGGCCGGGGUUCGCCCACGUUCGUGCUUAGGAUGCUGGCAUAAUGGCUUUAAACGAC
rnacentral:rRNA from 1 species